rnacentral:tRNA from 1 species
GGCUAGAUGGCGGAAUGGUAUACGCUUAGGUCUCAAAAACCUAUGAGGUUAAACCCUCGUGAGGGUCCAAGUCCCUCUCUAGCCA